GUCGAGGAUCAUUUGCAAUGGGCGCAAGCCUGACAAUGCGACGCUGCGUGGAGGAUGAAGGCCUUCGGGUUGUAAACUCCUGUCAUUCGGAAAAAACGAUAAGGGAGCGAAUACCUCUCUUAAGUGAUGGUACCGAAAGAGGAAGCCACGGCUAACUCUGUGCCAGCAGCCGCGGUAAUACAGAGGUGGCGAGCGUUGUUCGGAUUUACUGGGCGUAAAGGGUACGUAGGCGGUUUCGUAUGUCAGAUGUGAAAUCCCACGGCUUAACCGUGGAACUGCAUCUGAAACUGUGAAACUAGAGUACAGGAGGGGAGAGCGGAAUUCUUGGUGUAGCGGUGAAAUGCGUUGAUAUCAAGAAGAACACCGGUGGCGAAGGCGGCUCUCUGGAAUGUUACUGACGCUGAGGUACGAAAGUUGGGGGAGCAAACAGGAUUAGAUACCCUGGUAGUCC
rnacentral:rRNA from 1 species